GCCUGACCAGCCAUGCCGCGUGCAGGAAGACGGCCUUCUGGGGUUGUAAACUGCUUUUCUACGGGAAGAAAAUGCCCUUGCGAGGGAAAUUGCCGGUACCGUAGGAAUAAGCACCGGCUAACUCCGUGCCAGCAGCCGCGGUAAUACGGAGGGUGCAAGCGUUGUCCGGAUUUAUUGGGUUUAAAGGGUGCGUAGGCGGAUCUUUAAGUCAGUGGUGAAAGCCUGCAGCUUAACUGUAGAACUGCCAUUGAUACUGGAGGUCUUGAGUACACUAGAGGUAGGCGGAAUUUAUGGUGUAGCGGUGAAAUGCAUAGAUACCAUAAAGAACACCUAUAGCGUAGGCAGCUUACUGGAGUGUAACUGACGCUGAGGCACGAAAGCAUGGGGAGCGAACAGGAUUAGAUACCCUGGUAGUCCAUGCCGUAAACGAUGAUUACUCGAUGUUGGCGAUAUACUGUCAGCGUCCAAGCGAAAGCGUUAAGUAAUCCACCUGGGGAGUACGCUCGCAAGAGUGAAACUCAAA
rnacentral:rRNA from 1 species